AUCCACUGAAGGAAGAGCAUUGCUUGGAUCUAGGCUGCUCUUUGGAAGGGAGUGCUGUACGAUCAUAGAACUUCUUCAACGGGUGGAACUGCUUUAUGAGAAUUAGAAUUGCUUCAUCUACUCUGGAGCCGGUCACUGGAAUGAACUUCAUAGCUCCCUGAAAGCUCUGGCUGAAUGCUUCCAUAUGAGAAGUGGAUAUUACAGAAGUCUAGCUGGGCUGGUUCCUGUGACCUUGUAAGAGAGAAAUGUUGUCUUCGGGCCAUAUCCAAGCUGUGAAAUCCAGCCUUCCUCAGUUAGCUGUGGGAAAGGUACGUGACGUGGCACUGACAGCCAGCUGCAACAUGCUCGUUUGGGGCUGCUUAUGGUUUCUGGUGGAUAGACAACUUUGCUUCUGCAGUGGUACCACCUCACUGUGUGGUCAGGAGGAAAUAUUUCCAAACUUUUUGUUGUUGCUUGUUUUCGUUGAGAACUGAAAGUGUAGAUAUAAUAUGGAGUUUAUGCUAUUGCCUGUCAUGUGUAGAACUGGCAUCCAUUUACCUGAAAACCUGUUUCAUUUGAGUGGCCUUACUAAAGAAUAGCAUAUGCAAAAUACUGAAUAUUCUACUAGGAUGGAAAUGUGUAAGAAAAAUUAAAUUCACUGUUGCAGAACACCUCUUGCUUAUGUUUAAAAAUGUGCUGAACUGGAUAUAGGAACAAUGCUUGGUGCUUAGGUGCUCUUGCUUUCAAGACUUAAUCUUCCUGCUUAAACAUGCAGGAUGUUUGUGAAGAAGGCAAUGUAUCCUUUUUCACAGAUGAAUAUGAUGAAUUCUGCCAAGGUGCAAUAAACUGUGUAGUUCAAACUCCUGUGUAGCAGCUGAAUUGCUGAUUAGAUCAGUAUUCGGCAGUCUCUGAUCUUUGUUCCUGGCUCUGAUCGCUAGAUGACUUAAUUUACUAAUUUGUUAGUGUGCACAGAAUAAUUUAUAAAUACCAUAUUCUGAACAAGAUCUUGUUUUCUACGCAUGUUAUUAAUUAGCUAAUGUUUUUGCCAGGAAAUAAGUUCAAGACAGCACACAUUUAUCCUGUUACUUGCAUCUCCUGACAAACAGCAGAGAUAGAUUCAGCCAUCAGGGGACUGCGGAUGGCAAAUAUUCCUCAGGGUGGCUUGGCUGAGGGAUGUAGACGUUUCUUGGAGAAUUUCAAGGACCUAGCAUUUGGGAAAGGUUACUCAAGCAGGAGGCUGUGGCAGAAGCUCACAGGGAGCAGUCUCACAAGAACAUAGGGUGGUUGGUGAACAGUACCCCAGGACCCGAGUUUGCAGAUGUUGUAGUGUGUUGUGCAACUGUGUCUUUGAGCCUGGCCAGCAUCAAGCUGGCAGUUUUUACUUAUAGCAGAGAACAAAUAACUCUCAUGAUUCUUUCUGUUGACUGAGCAGUCAUGGUGGGAAUCUGGUGUAGAUGUCAGUGAGCAGCUGAAAAGGAUGGAUGGGAUAUGU